AACGAACGCUGGCGGCAGGCCUAACACAUGCAAGUCGAGCGAAGCCUUCGGGCUUAGCGGUGGACGGGUGAGUAACGCGUGGGAACGUGCCCUUUGGUACGGAAUAGCCCCGGGAAACUGGGAGUAAUACCGUAUGUGGUCGAGAGACGAAAGAUUUAUCGCCAAAGGAUCGGCCCGCGUUGGAUUAGGUAGUUGGUGGGGUAAUGGCCUACCAAGCCGACGAUCCAUAGCUGGUUUGAGAGGAUGGUCAGCCACACUGGGACUGAGACACGGCCCAGACUCCUACGGGAGGCAGCAGUGGGGAAUCUUAGACAAUGGGGGAAACCCUGAUCUAGCCAUGCCGCGUGAUCGAUGAAGGCCUUAGGGUUGUAAAGAUCUUUCAGUGGGGAAGAUAAUGACUGUACCCACAGAAGAAGCCCCGGCUAACUCCGUGCCAGCCGCCGCGGUAACAC
rnacentral:rRNA from 1 species